GCCGGCCUCAGGUCUCACUGACUCGGUCCAGAGAUCCGGCCGCCACCCUCGCCUCCCUCCCGAGAUCCCGCCGCCGCCGCCGCCACCUCCGCCUCGCCUCCCUCCCUCCCCGUCCCGAGAUCCCGCUCCCUCCGGCAACAAGGAAGCUGACGUCUCGAGCUCCAGUCAGUCCGCCCCCUGGCCCAUCAGAUCCAAUUCCUUCCCCGACCCCCAUCCCGGAUCCGCCGCAAUUCCUUAGCGUCUCGAGCUCGAUUGCUCCCUGUCCGUGGAAUUUGCUCCUUUUUCCCGCAAGAAUCCUGCCUUGGCUGGCGACUUAGAGGUGGGCGCUUGCGAAGGUGGGGCGGCGGCUCUGCUGGCGUCUACUCAGGGUCGUCCGCCGCAUACUCAGGGUCGUCAGGCUCAAUCCGCUGCAGCGCAGCGCCAAGAGCCGUUGAGGUAAUUCCUCGUGAACACAUUUAGCUUAGGAAGUUACUAUUGGCUGCUCAUUCAGCUGAGCAGAUCGAGCUAUCCAUUUAGCUCGACACAGUGAAGAGACGCAUUGCGCUUACGCAUUUUGCGUUAGCUCUUGAACAUCCGUUUGGUGUGCUGCGCUGUGAAGGUCACAGAAUCCACUCUUGGUGCAGGAGCAAAGUGAGAAUGACAUGGACAAGCAAAGGCCAGAAGAACCAGAAACUGGUGGCCAACAAAAGAUAACGCAACUCGCCGAGCUCCUGUGAGGAGAUAAGCAUCAGGGUUGGACGAUGGCAACAACCAGGGUCUGGUCGGCAGUUGGGUCGUCGUCUCGUCUCUCCAGCUAGGGAGCAACCAAGCACAAGCAAGCGUGAACAACCUAUAUAUAUAUAUAUGUAACAUAGAUCUUUGCAACUUGUUUGACUACUAGUAGCUAUCUAAUGGGUUCUUAUUGGGUUGUAACCAUAUUUGGCAAGCAGUUUGUAUAACUUAUGCACUGAAAAGUUUGGGGUGGUAUGGUGUGUGAAGGUGGAAGUUUGAUUUGGGGUGAGUUAAAUUUAUAUAUUUGUGAGAA